CUGAAAACUCCUUCCAUAAAACCUCUUGGGUCAAGAGGCAGAGAGGAAAGCUCUGACUUCUCCUCUGACGUGAAGACGAGAGCCUCUAUUGCCAGGCCGGGAGGAAGUCACCAUGAGGUGAUGCUGUAGACAAGCCCCAAAGCAAGGGAGCCAACAGCUACAGACUGAACCUGCAAAUGGUGAAGAAUUCUACCACACACUUCUGCUACCCCGAUGUCCUACCCAAUAGACUAGGACUAGUCAACCGUGGACGGAAGCCCCUAAAUCCAUGAACCCGAACAAGUUUUUCC